GGAACACUCUAGGAAGAAUGGAGCUGUUCUAAUGGAGGAUAACUUGCUCUUCAGAUGAAAGUAUUUCCUGCUCAUCUCAUACGAAAUGAGUGUUAACAGUGCAAGCAGCCAACUUUUGUUCUCGUGUGCUUCAGGUCUGAGCUUUCCUGCCUGCCUCAUCCUGCGACGUGGGCUUUGGUGGCAGAUCCUCUGCUGCACCUCAAGAUCCAUCCAGAAGGGUUGGAAGCCACCCUGCACCUUCUGUGGUCAUCUUCUGCUCAUUUCUGCAAGAGCAGAUGCAGCUGUACUUGGUCUUCCAUGCUCUUUGCUGACCUUCUAUCAGAAAAACAUUCCCUCUGAGGAGCUCAAGUGACUCCACUGAAACUCUGGCAUUUGUCACAGACAAAAUUGGGUCAGGAGAGAGCACAGAGGUACAGAACGGAAAAGAGAGAAAUUCAUCCUUAGGAAAAAAAAAAAAGUCUCAAGCUGCAAACUUGGGCUUAAUUUGUCUCCUCCACGUAAGGUAAGCCUUUUCCUAAGGGAUUUUCCAGCCAAGCUCACAGUAUCUUUGAUAUAAAUGUACUAUCAAGUUCUAUAGGAAGAUUAUUAAGUACUUUUUUUGAGCUA
rnacentral:lncRNA from 1 species